CAGAUUCAUCUCUUUCAUCUCCUAUCCAUCUCUGAAGCUUCAUGUCUUCUCCUCUGAAGUUUCAUCUCUGGAGAACUGCGUGAUUAUAGAACUUCAUCUCUCUUUCAGCUCUAGACCCACUGAAAUCAACAGCCAGGGGUUUCAACUGUGGAUCUGCUUUUUUCUACUCCAGGGAUUUUGAUUUUAGGGUUACAUCUUUGAAUCUGCUAUGAGAAAGCUUGAAAUCGUUCCAGUCGAUUUCCAUUAUUGAAUAAUUUGUCUCAAGUAAAUUAGGUCAAAUUUCUUUUAAGGAGAUUCAAUCAAAUUUCAAAUUUCAGGCAGGUGCUGAUCCAAAUGGUGCACCAGAUGGAAUAAAAGCUCUUCCACUUGCUGCAGGGGUAACACAAAUCAUCAAGCCGCUGGUUGAUGCUGGCGCAGAUUUAGAUGUUAAAAAUAUACUGUUGUCAGUAAUCCUCAAGGUGUUGAGAUUCUUUUUCCUGUGACUUCUCAUAUUCCAUCAUAUGAUGACUGGAGCAUAAAUGGAACAAUGAAGCAUGUGGAAUCUAAGAAGUUCAAGAAAAAGAUGAAUCGUAAUUCAACGGAGUAUUUUUCUUAAGGUAAAAUCAAGGGGAACAAAUGCAUUCCAGAAGGAGUAUUGGCUGGCGGUAUAUUGGUACUCAAAUGUACCUUUUCUCAACAGGAAAUACUCUAAAGUUUAACGUUUGAAUGAAUUUUACUUUAAUUGAUAUAUUUUUUAUGGAAGGUGAAAUAAGAAUGCAUACACCUUCCAAGUAUUAUUUAAUGACUUUUAUGCAUUUCAUAACUUUAUAUUUAAUACAAAUUGGAUGACUUGGGAAUUUCCGCGUUUGAUUUUGAUGGUUGUCUUGCGAACACCGUUGUGAGAAGGUAAUGUAAUUUUUUUGAGAACAAUAUCCGUUUCUACUCUUAGAUUUUUCUGUUGAAUAUCCUGUAUUGUAUGCCAUGUCCGAGAUCACAAGUGUCCAGCUCAUGUUUCAUAUGCUCUUCCCAACUUUUUCCAUUUGUCCUCCUUGGUGAUCCCAUUUUUAAAGGGUAAUACUAAUGGAGGUUAAAAAAUAAGGGUUUUCUGUGUUCUUUGGAGGCCUGGCAUGGGCAUAACCCUAGUCUUUGUGAAGUUUAUUGAUAUACAUGAUUCAUCUUGACACUUUUAGCUCUUUUUAGGUGUUUCAUUCGAUGUGCUUGCACCUGGUAUCAAGGCAAUUUUUAACUGUCUUUCCCGGUCAAAGAUCUGGCAAGAUAAUUGUUUAUCGUCAUUGAAAGUCCCUUAACCAGUGCUUCUACAUGUUAUGAUAUUUAAUGAGUUUUCUCUGUGAUUUGUACAGAAUUGCGCAAAAGAAGCCACCUGGUAUCGUCAUCGAUGGUCUCUGGGUGUAUAAAGGCCGGAAGACUAUCAAAUAUGAUGGUGUUCCUGGGUUUACCGCUGGUUCAACAUUUCUUGCGUUGGAAUUGUUGUCUUCUGUGGUCUCUACUUCGGAUUGUACGACUCUCUAAAGCCAGUUCUUUUGAAUGGUGAUUUAGCGGAUAGUUUCUUGCUUCUCCACAUGCUUGUGGUACAUCUAAGUGAAUGUUCAGAAGUACUCUAUUGUGCCAUAUCUUUCCAACUACGACCAAAAGUCUGUAUAUGAGUCACCAACACCGGCAAAAAUGAUUGUUCCUUUUCCGUCUUUUCCAACAGCUUGACAUGUUCAGCAGACCAAUGUGCAUUGUCCAAGUACAUUGUUGGGUCCUCUAUGGUAGAAUCCUAGGAUGGGAAGGUAGGGAUGACCAUGGAGUCUGAUCUCUGACUAGAUCAACUUCAGCAUCAGCUUCCUGCAAAUGAACCAGGCGCGCUUAUGCAACUUGUUGAGGGCACUACGGAGGAAGAUAAUAUAUCUUUAAGUGUGAAGGUAUUUGGGCUUAAGAAAAGCAGUACUCUGGUGAUAUUGUAGCUUGCAGAGGAAUUUGUUUAAGCAAGCGGAGUCUCGUUAUACUUCUGGUGGAGUUCAAUCUUACUCAUAUAUUAGUCUUUCUUUCCCUGUUUUUCAAUGCCUAUUUCAGUUGACACAAACUAGGUCACCCAACAAUUUAUGAACGGCAACAUAGAACAUUGUACGUCAAGUCACAAAAUUUUGGGACUUGAUGAUCA